UACGUAGGUGGCGAGCGUUGUCCGGAUUUAUUGGGUUUAAAGGGUGCGUAGGCGGCUUAUUAAGUCAGUGCUGAAAUACCCCGGCUUAACCGGGGGGGUGGCAUUGAUACUGAUGAGCUUGAGUACAGACGAGGUAGGCGGAAUUGACGGUGUAGCGGUGAAAUGCAUAGAUAUCGUCAAGAACACCGAUAGCGAAGGCAGCUUACUAGGCUGUAACUGACGCUGAUGCACGAAAGUGUGGGGAUCAAAC
rnacentral:rRNA from 1 species